rnacentral:rRNA from 1 species
GUCUAUGGUCAUGCCACCUUGAAUGCCUAAUUUUGUCUGAUCUCAGAAGCUAAGUAGGGUUAGGCCUGGUUAGUAUUUGGAUGGGAGACCACCUAGGAAUACCAGACACUGUAGGCG